rnacentral:lncRNA from 1 species
CCAGAGGGUUGGUUGUUAUGGACAUAUAGGUUCGGUGAUCAUAGGCGAAGGUUUUAUAGAUUUGAAGUUAAAGUGAGUUUAGAAUUCUGCUUCAUCAUAUUCUAACCCAGAGCUAGAAGAAGUAGCUUUCCCACUAUAAACAUAUAUGGGGGGUUUAAGCAUUGUGUUCAGGGGUAAUGGUUAUUCAGAAGUAGAAAGUAGGAUUAACUAAUUCUAAACAUCAGUGGAUUCAUCAACAGGGAAUGAAGUAUGUAUUGGAGAUUGAUUGGGUGAGGAAAUUGGUGAGGGGGGAGUGAAUAUAUGUGGUUUAGGGUGGAUUAAUAAAAAUCAUCCCUAGAGAUAAGGUUAAGAUUAAUACUUGUCAUACCAGUAUUUAGAGCUUCUGAAGUAGUCACAUUUUCUUCAACAAAAGCUUCUGAAACUACUUCUUCAGGGAUACUAGAAGCUUUAAUCUCAGAAGGCUUCAACCCAGUAAUUAAUUUUUCACCUUGAACCUCUGCAAUCUCCAAACACCAACACCAAAAACCUCUUCAAUCAAAGCAUCAAAGGUUUCUAGAAGCUUCUUUGAUUGAUCCAACAUAACAGAUGUUAAGAGUUGAGCACUUAUGAAGAUAGACUUUAUGACACUCUUUUGAGCAACAACAUAUGUAACUUUAUUUCUUACGACCAAUGACUCACUAAGAUCCUCUUCUUCAUCAUCCUCUUCUAUUUCACAUAACUUCCUUGACUUAUUCCUUCUUAAAGGUACAUCAAGUGAGACAGAGGAAGAAGACACCUCUGGAGGAGUCCUUCCCCUUCUUGUCUUGGAUGACAUUAAGACAGUGGAAGAAAUAAGUUCAUCAAU